UGAAAAAUAAGGCUCUAGGUUUCAUAAGGCACAUAACGCGCUGGCUGCGGGAACCCCAGUGCAGAGCCAGGACUGCGCAGUUCAGAUGGCUUUUCCUUCAGCCGGAGAAGCAAUCCCUUCUAAAUUAAAUGCCAGGUGUGAAACAGGUUUCCUUGUCUCUGCUCCUCUGCUGUGAAUAAACAGACAUUCCUGCGCAAGUGCAAGGUAAUCCAUGCAUAAUUCAUCCCGGGGCUCCGCUUUCCAGAUGUGCAGCCACCCGUGGGUUCCGGUGGCCGCCUGGCUUUGUCUCCUGGAGAGGCAAUAUCGCCGGCAGCCAGAUCUGAUCUGACUCCGGCCAGCGGCCUCCCUGGCUGCAGCUGAUCUGUGGCUGUCUUUGUGCCUGCCCGUGGCCCUGCCGCCCAAGCUCCCCGCCUGCUGCUGUCUGGGAUCCCUUGUCGUUGGCUUACGUUGACUUCUCAUACUUCACUUUUUAUACUUCAAAGUUGAGAUUGAAUUUACCUUUAUGAAGCAGACGUUUCUUGCUCAACGUGGAGGAUUUAUGGUUUCCUCUUGCUGGCCUGUUGGAAGGCCUUUUCCAAGACAGAAAGAACUUCUGGAUGUUUAAAGAUUAUUGGUCCUUUUUAUUGUGAGAGAAAGGAGCUAGAGAACUGGUUUCCAUUGCCUCCUUUUGGGGGUGUGUGCCUUCUGCCGGCCAGGGACAGCUAAACAUUUUACAUGGGUCAUUUACAGGUAAUCUUUCAGGAAGACAAACAUCAAAUGCAUAUUCGGUGCUGCUCGGGACCUUAUUCAUCCCUUUGAUGAAUGUGCCUCAGAAAGGACGUGUGGAGGACAUUGCAGCAGGCUGUGUGGGUUUAUGUAGCCACCCUGUGUUCCCUAGCUUUGUGACUUCAGGAAGUUACCUUUCUUUCUCCUCACCUGUAACAGAGUUGCAAGGGUUGUUAUAAGGGUCAAAAACAAUACACGUCAAGUGCUUAAAAUCAUACCUGGCAACAAUAAAUGCUUCAUAAAUGUGCUCUUUUGCCAUGUUAUCCUGUUUAGUCAGCACUGAAGGCUGCCGUUUGUAUCUUUAUUUUUAGCUAUAAAAACAUUGAAGCUUGGACUCACCCCAUGUCACAAACUAGGAAUCCAGUAGCCCAGCUAAAUUCACCGGCAGUAUGUCUGAAUUCAAACCCUGUGGACUCCAUUUUAUUCUGUACUACCCUUCUCUCUGGUUUUCCCUCCUGGAAAUUAACCCCAGGAUCCUGGAUUUCCAAGUUGACAAGUAAAGCAACAACAACUAAAAGCUAUACUCAGAAAAUAAAUUUUCACCACUGCAACCUGUCUCCUUAAAAUGGAGCUAUGCUAACAAACACUGCCUUAAUAAAAUCAAAUGAGGUGAAUACUACAACACACAGGAAAGACCCUUGGCCUCUGGGCAUGCAGAGCCUAAAAUUUGGAGCCAGAUGAACCUACCC
rnacentral:lncRNA from 1 species